ensembl:lncRNA
AGGGCUUUCACUUCCUCCUCUGCUGGGGGUCCCUGCAGCGCGCCCCUCCCCACCCUGGCUCAGACGGCCGCUCCCCUGUCACCUCCUGUCACAAGCCGCAGCCCCUGCCGUGCUCCAGCGGGGCCAGAACAACAGUGUGUUCCCAAGACGGGUGGGUUGAGAACCAGUUUGGGCUAAACUUGAGGCUGUACAACCCUGGUUCCUUUAAGUGCUCCUCACGUGAACAUUUUAGAGUUCAAGCCAUAUCAGAACUAAGAAGAGACUGUUAAGUUUAGCAGUUAUUGGUUCAGUGGUGACUUUCCAUAAGAGGUGUGUUUGAAUCACAGCGGACCUCCUGUUGGAGAGGUAGUAUGGAGGAAAAGGAAGAGGAUGAGGAAGAGGAGGGCUGCACUUGGGGGUCGGACGACCCCGCUUUGAAUCUUUGCUCCACAGUAAAUCUCCUACAUAUGAACCUUCAAGUUGCGAAUUUUCAAAGAUGAGAACACAUGUUCCGUCAGUGUCAGGCGUGAGGGAAAUGGCAACUUGCCCUUCCUCUCCUAUUGCCGCUGAUCCUUCAACGCUACCAUCUCUCACCUCCUCUCCCUCCUCUGGUCGGUAACUCUUCUUCUCUGUUCAUUCAAUGUCAGCCCCUGUAUGCAAGCUGUUGUACUGUGCUACUGUCCUUUUCAAGGUACUGCAA